rnacentral:tmRNA from 1 species
GGGGAUGUAAAGGUUUCGACGGGGAUUUCAAACCUUGGUAAGCGAGCGGCGGUGCGGAACCGCCAUAAAAUCCGCAACUUUAAAAUUAACUGACAACAAAACAGUUGCUUUAGCAGCCUGAGUGCUGCUCGUUCCUGCACAGAGUACCUCGACUGUGUAAGGGGCGUCGAUUAGAGGUAAAUGUGAACAGGGGAGCGCUCCGAACCCUGUCACAGCUUAGGAGCUGCCAAAGUGCAUAGCCUGUUGAUGGGCGAUGCACCGAGGGAGAUUUAAAACACCAACUGCGCUCGGAGAAACCCUUGGCAAGAUUUUUUCGGACAGGGGUUCGAUUCCCCUCAUCUCCACCA